AUUCAGGCAACAUGUCCUCUUUCGUUUCAAGGACUGUCUUCAGACGACUUUGUCAAAUCAAGCAGCAGGAGGCAUCUUUUCUCUCUAAAUGUCUGUUCCACAGAAGCAUACCUGCUUUAUCAUCAACCCAGGAUUCGUCUGCUGAUAGCUGUCAGACGGUGACACUGAUCCCCGGGGAUGGGGUGGGACCAGAACUUAUGCACAGUGUCAAGGACGUCUUCCAAGCCGCAGGAGUUCCUGUUAAGUUUGAAGAAAUUUAUUUAAGGUAAAGUUGUACUAUGAUAUGUAUUAUUUACUAAUUUAUACCAAGGUUAAAAGCAUUUUGUUUUUCAAUGAUACUGAUACAAUCAGAUAAAUGCAUUAUAUCCUAUCCCUGAUGGAGUUAAGAAAACAGAUUCUCACAUUUGAUGAACACAUUAAUGCCAAAUGCUAGAUGAUCAAUGUAGUGUUUUGGCUUAUUAUUGUAUGCGAUGUGGUCUUCUUUCCUCAGUGAAACUAAUCCAUCCAUGAGUGCAAAUCUAGACACAGCUGUUAAAUCGUUCAAGAAGAAUGGGGUAGGACUGAAGGGCAUUAUCAGCACGCCCAGCCAGCUGAAGGGAGGGAUCCUACAGACCCUUAAUAUGAAGAUCAGAACUGAAAUAGACCUGUUUGCCAACGUAGUUGUCAUCAAAAGUCUGCCAGGAUUCAAGACAAGACACAAGAAUCUGGACUUUGUGAUUAUCCGCGAACAGACGGAGGGGGAGUACAGUGCCCUGGAACAUGAGACAGUACCUGGAGUUGUUGAGAGUUUGAAAAUCAUCACUAGGAAAAACUCAAAGAGAAUCGCCAAGUUUGCUUUUGACUAUGCCAUGAAGCACAACAGAAGUAAAGUGACAGCAGUUCACAAAGCCAACAUCAUGAAGUUGGGAGAUGGCUUGUUCAUCAAAUGCUGUGAGGAAGUGGCACAGUUUUAUCCCAAGAUCAAGUUUGACACAAUGAUUAUUGACAACUGUUGUAUGCAGCUUGUUUCUAAUCCCCAUCAGUUUGAUGUCAUGGUGAUGCCAAAUCUCUAUGGAAACAUUGUUGACAACCUUGCAGCCGGUUUAGUGGGUGGGGCAGGGGUAGUCCCAGGGGAGAGCUACAGCUCAGAUGUAGCAGUGUUUGAACAGGGUGCGAGACAUGCCUUUGCUGAAGCCAUAGGAAAGAACAUAGCUAACCCCACAGCGACCUUACUGUCGGCCUGCAACAUGUUGAAGCACAUCCACCUGGAUUACCACGCCAAGCUGAUCGAGGACUCUGUACAUAAGGUCAUAAAGACCCAGAAGGUGAAGACCAGGGACAUGGGAGGCUAUGCUUACACCUCAGACUUCACACACGCUGUCAUAGACAACUUACAACACUAGGUCCGAGCGAGCCCUCUAUCUAUUUAUUACUGUGUUCCUGGCUGUCAUUGUUGUUUUACUUUGUUCUAGGAUAUUGUUAUUUGUUGUUGAGUCGCUUCCUAUACUCCUGCUGUUCUUAAUAUGUUUUUUCAAAGGCAGUUUUAUCUCUUAUAAUGAACAUAAGCAAUUCAGAAAAUGAAUUGCUUGUAAAAGAUAAACACAAUAUUUUAUGUCAUCAUUGACUUUGAAAAUAAAUGGAAUCUC
rnacentral:misc_RNA from 1 species